rnacentral:rRNA from 1 species
AUUCAACGCUGGCGGCAGGCCUAACACAUGCAAGUCGAACGGUAACAGAAAGCAGCUUGCUGCUUUGCUGACGAGUGGCGGACGGGUGAGUAAUGUCUGGGAAACUGCCUGAUGGAGGGGGAUAACUACUGGAAACGGUAGCUAAUACCGCAUAACGUCGCAAGACCAAAGAGGGGGACCUUCGGGCCUCUUGCCAUCGGAUGUGCCCAGAUGGGAUUAGCUAGUAGGUGGGGUAACGGCUCACCUAGGCGACGAUCCCUAGCUGGUCUGAGAGGAUGACCAGCCACACUGGAACUGAGACACGGUCCAGACUCCUACGGGAGGCAGCAGUGGGGAAUAUUGCACAAUGGGCGCAAGCCUGAUGCAGCCAUGCCGCGUGUAUGAAGAAGGCCUUCGGGUUGUAAAGUACUUUCAGCGGGGAGGAAGGGAGUAAAGUUAAUACCUUUGCUCAUUGACGUUACCCGCAGAAGAAGCACCGGCUAACUCCGUG